AUCUGAACCUUCGGGGAACGAUAACGGCGUCGAGCGGCGGACGGGUGAGUAAUGCCUAGGAAAUUGCCCUGAUGUGGGGGAUAACCAUUGGAAACGAUGGCUAAUACCGCAUAAUGCCUUCGGGCCAAAGAGGGGGACCUUCGGGCCUCUCGCGUCAGGAUAUGCCUAGGUGGGAUUAGCUAGUUGGUGAGGUAAGGGCUCACCAAGGCGACGAUCCCUAGCUGGUCUGAGAGGAUGAUCAGCCACACUGGAACUGAGACACGGUCCAGACUCCUACGGGAGGCAGCAGUGGGGAAUAUUGCACAAUGGGCGCAAGCCUGAUGCAGCCAUGCCGCGUGUGUGAAGAAGGCCUUCGGGUUGUAAAGCACUUUCAGUCGUGAGGAAGGUGGUAGUGUUAAUAGCACUAUCAUUUGACGUUAGCGACAGAAGAAGCACCGGCUAACUCCGUGCCAGCAGCCGCGGUAAUACGGAGGGUGCGAGCGUUAAUCGGAAUUACUGGGCGUAAAGCGCAUGCAGGUGGUUUGUUAAGUCAGAUGUGAAAGCCCGGGGCUCAACCUCGGAAUUGCAUUUGAAACUGGCAGACUAGAGUACUGUAGAGGGGGGUAGAAUUUCAGGUGUAGCGGUGAAAUGCGUAGAGAUCUGAAGGAAUACCGGUGGCGAAGGCGGCCCCCUGGACAGAUACUGACACUCAGAUGCGAAAGCGUGGGGAGCAAACAGGAUUAGAUACCCUGGUAGUCCACGCCGUAAACGAUGUCUACUUGGAGGUUGUGGCCUUGAGCCGUGGCUUUCGGAGCUAACGCGUUAAGUAGACCGCCUGGGGAGUACGGUCGCAAGAUUAAAACUCAAAUGAAUUGACGGGGGCCCGCACAAGCGGUGGAGCAUGUGGUUUAAUUCGAUGCAACGCGAAGAACCUUACCUACUCUUGACAUCCAGAGAACUUUUCAGAGAUGGAUUGGUGCC
rnacentral:rRNA from 1 species